rnacentral:rRNA from 1 species
CCUACGGGAGGCUGCAGUGGGGAAUAUUGGACAAUGGGGGCAACCCUGAUCCAGCCAUGCCGCGUGUGUGAAGAAGGCCCUCGGGUUGUAAAGCACUUUCAGUGAGGAAGAACGCCUGGUGGUUAAUACCCAUCAGGAAAGACAUCACUCACAGAAGAAGCACCGGCUAACUCCGUGCCAGCAGCCGCGGUAAUACGGAGGGUGCGAGCGUUAAUCGGAAUUACUGGGCGUAAAGCGCGCGUAGGUGGCUUGAUAAGCCGGUUGUGAAAGCCCCGGGCUCAACCUGGGAACGGCAUCCGGAACUGUCAAGCUAGAGUGCAGGAGGGGAAGGUAGAAUUCCCGGUGUAGCGGUGAAAUGCGUAGAGAUCGGGAGGAAUACCAGUGGCGAAGGCGGCCUUCUGGACUGACACUGACACUGAGGUGCGAAAGCGUGGGUAGCAAACAGGAUUAGAUACCCUAGUAGUC